GCCUGGGCUCAAGACAAUUUUUAGCUUCAUUGUUCCUAAUCAAAAGUCUGGCAAGGUAUCAGGAUAUUGCAUCUAGGCUCAUAGAUCUCUCCAUUAUCACUUGCAUGCAACUUGCAGAUAAGCUCUGGAAUUAGAACUAAUAGACUAUAUUUGCAUUUUGCAACUUUCAGGUAUCGAAUCUGUUUAUUUGUGGGAGGGUGAGGUAAGAAUACCAUGCAUACUGAGUUAUAUCAUUAACUGAUAUUUUAUGACCAAUUCAAUUGUCAGAUUAAUGCGAAUGAGCCUCAAUGACAUCAUAUGUGCAUCAGAAUAGAUUAAUCGCACAUAUGGUAUGUUGUGAAGUUCGUUAAUCUGGCUAUCAGGAUGAGUUGUUGUGGGGAGCUACUUAGCUGCACAAAGCCACCAAAAACCCAGCUCAUCUGAACUACAUUCAAUUGAAUGGUUAGACACUUGGAGCUGAUGAGACUGACAAUAACCUUGGUUGGGAUAACAAACAUGUUGGGGCAAGAAUCUUAAUUUCCAAGAUCUGAUUUUUUAUUUUUUUUUCUUUUUCUUUCUAAUUUCUAUCCUUUCU